rnacentral:tRNA from 1 species
AUAGCUAAGAAGUAUAGCAUCUCCCUUACACUGAGAAGUCAUCCGUGCAAAUCGGA